CCCAGCUCUGGCCUCAUUUCUAUCCUAGGCCAGCUCGACGCACUAGUGACUAUCGCAAUGAACAAUGCUACCAACCUGGAAGAGCUGCAGCUCAUUGAGUUUGGGCGAAGGUUCAGGUACAGCCAGCAGCUGAUCAUGGAAAGCCCCGAGAUUGGCAGCGUUUUGGCUCAAGAGCUGCUGGCUGUGUCAGAGAGGAAGUGCUGCCACCCGUGCCCCUGCACGUGCAUUGGAUUGCCAGGCUCGCCAGGCCCCUUGGGCGUUCCAGGGCGCAAGGUAAAGCGCUUGCCGCGGGUCGCCGGUCCUGGUGCUGCAUGCAGGGCUGUCACAUGCAGCCUCUGCUUUGGGGAGGGCAGGGGGCUGUGCUGUUCCCUUCCAGUGCUUUGGAUCAGACUCUAGCACGAGUGUGAGGCUGUGUGUCUCACAGCCUGUACCCCCCCACUCUGCAUGGAGGUGACGAAGCAGGAGUUGUACUCUGGGUUCCUUUACACUGGUGCAAAGCUCCACUAUCCACGUCCUGCACCAGUGUAAAUAGUGACUCCUGCAGAUGACGCUCCAAACCAUGCUUGGGCACAAACUGCUCUGCACGGCGUUGCGGCAUAUCUGCACUGGUGGUGUGACAUCAGCAGAGCUGCCAGUGCAAAAACACCCUGUGCAGACGAGCCCUAGGAAAGCGCUUGUUCCCAGCUACAUGCCUUUUGCACUUACUCACUGGUCUGAGAAAUCAGGAUGAGGCGAGAUGUUUGCACAUCUGGAUCUGCAGAGCAAUGGGGAAUGAUAAAAAGGCACAAGGGGAUUUUUGUUUUCUAUGUUUCUGAGAAGAGUUUAUAAUGUUCUCUUUCCCUUCCAGUUGGGAUAAAUCUCCUGGUGUCUCCAACUUCCAUUCCUAUUGGCCUUGCUGGGCCUAUGUUGUCUGACCCAGCUGGCUGGUCCCUACACAGCUGGGACCUUGUCAACUUGGCCUCUAUGUUGCCUGAGGUCUAUCAUCUGAUGUUGUGUCAACUGGAUUCACCAGACAUUGAAGCUGGUCUUAACCACUUAGUCAUAGUGAUUCAUUCUCAGCUCUUCCAUACUGAGUGCUUUCCUCUGGAGAUCUCAAAACACUUUACAAACAUGAUUGUUUUACUAGUGGAGAAACUGAGGCACAGAGGCAAAGUGAUUUGCCCAAGGCCACUAGACUGCACUCCAUCCCAGGGUUGGAGAACCUAGGCAUCCUGAAUCACAGUACCUUGCUCUAACCAGAGCUGAGGAUAGAAACCAGGAGCCUUGGCUCCCACAGCCUCUGCUCUAGCCACAAGAGAACUCCCUCCCCGAGUCAAGACUAGAACUCUGGGGCUCUGACUCUCAAACUCCCGCACAGAGCUGGGAAGAGAACCCACGUAGUCCUGAUUCCUAAGCC
rnacentral:lncRNA from 1 species